rnacentral:rRNA from 1 species
CGGAGGAUCCAAGCGUUAUCCGGAUUUAUUGGGUUUAAAGGGUGCGUAGGCGGCUUAUUAAGUCAGGGGUGAAAGACGGUGGCUCAACCAUCGCAGUGCCCUUGAUACUGAUGAGCUUGAAUGAACUAGAGGUAGGCGGAAUGUGUCAAGUAGCGGUGAAAUGCAUAGAUAUGUCACAGAACACCGAUUGCGAAGGCAGCUUACUAUGGUUUUAUUGACGCUGAGGCACGAAAGCGUGGGGAUCAAACAGGAUUAGAUACCCUGGUAGUCCACGCCCUAAACGAUGAAUACUCGCUGUUAGCGAUAUACAGUUAGCGGCUAAGCGAAAGCGUUAAGUAUUCCACCUGGGGAGUACGCCCGCAAGGGUG